AAUCUUAACAGAACCCUUCGGGGUGAAGAUAAGACGGAUUAGCGGCGGACGGGUGAGUAACACGUGAGUAACCUGCCUUUUACACAGGGAUAGCCUCGGGAAACCGGGAUUAAAACCUGAUGAAACUAUCAAAUCACAUGAUUAAGAAAGUUAAAACUCCGGUGGUAAAGGAUGGACUCGCGUCCCAUUAGCUAGUUGGUGAAGGUAACGGCCCACCAAGGCAACGAUAGGUAGCCGGCCUGAGAGGGUGAACGGCCACAUUGGAACUGAGAAACGGUCCAAACUCCUACGGGAGGCAGCAGUGGGGAAUAUUGCACAAUGGGGGAAACCCUGAUGCAGCGACGCCGCGUGAGCGAAGAAGGCCUUCGGGUCGUAAAGCUCUUUUAUAUGGGAAGAUAAUGACGGUACC
rnacentral:rRNA from 1 species